AUUGAACGCUGGCGGCAUGCCUAACACAUGCAAGUCGAACGCGAAAGUCCUUCGGGGCGAGUAGAGUGGCGGACGGGUGAGUAAUACGUGGGAAUCUACCUGGUAGUGGGGGACAACCCGGGGAAACUCGGGCUAAUACCGCAUAUGUCCUACGGGACAAAGGGGGCCUCUGCUUGCAAGCUCUCGCUACCAGAUGAGCCCACGUCCGAUUAGCUAGUUGGUAGGGUAAAGGCCUACCAAGGCGACGAUCGGUAGCUGGUCUGAGAGGAUGGCCAGCCACACUGGGACUGAGACACGGCCCAGACUCCUACGGGAGGCAGCAGUGGGGAAUAUUGGACAAUGGGCGCAAGCCUGACCCAGCAAUGCCGCGUGUGUGAAGAAGGCCUGCGGGUUGUAAAGCACUUUCAGUGGGGAGGAAAAGCCUGGGG
rnacentral:rRNA from 1 species